AUUGAACGCUGGCGGCAGGCCUAACACAUGCAAGUCGAACGGUAGCACAGAGAGCUUGCUCUCGGGUGACGAGUGGCGGACGGGUGAGUAAUGUCUGGGAAACUGCCUGAUGGAGGGGGAUAACUACUGGAAACGGUAGCUAAUACCGCAUAACGUCGCAAGACCAAAGAGGGGGACCUUCGGGCCUCUUGCCAUCAGAUGUGCCCAGAUGGGAUUAGCUAGUAGGUGGGGUAACGGCUCACCUAGGCGACGAUCCCUAGCUGGUCUGAGAGGAUGACCAGCCACACUGGAACUGAGACACGGUCCAGACGCCUACGGGAGGCAGCAGUGGGGAAUAUUGCACAAUGGGCGCAAGCCUGAUGCAGCCAUGCCGCGUGUAUGAAGAAGGCCUUCGGGUUGUAAAGUACUUUCAGCGGGGAGGAAGGCGAUAAGGUUAAUAACCUUGUCGAUUGACGUUACCCGCAGAAGAAGCACCGGCUAACUCCGUGCCAGCCGCCGCCGUAAGAC
rnacentral:rRNA from 1 species